rfam:Danio rerio chromosome 9, GRCz11 reference primary assembly.
GGCCACAGCCAUAUCAACCUGCAGCACAAGACCGGUUACUCACUGAAGCUAAGCAGGGUUGAGCCUGGUCAGUACCUGAAUGGGAGACCACUAGGGAACACUAGGUUCCUGUUGGAA